CAGAGGGGGCAAGCGUUAUUCGGAAUUAUUGGGCGUAAAGGGCGCGUAGGCGGCCUGGCAAGUGGAAGGUGAAAUCCCUCGGCUUAACCGAGGAACUGCCUCCCAAACUGCUUGGCUUGAGACCAGGAGAGGUGAGUGGAAUUCCCAGUGUAGCGGUGAAAUGCGUAGAUAUUGGGAGGAACACCAGUGGCGAAGGCGGCUCACUGGACUGGUACUGACGCUGAGGCGCGAAAGCGUGGGGAGCAAACGGGAUUAGAUACCCCGGUAGUCCACGCCGUAAACGAUGAGUGCUUGGUGUAGCGGGUAUCGACCCCUGCUGUGCCGAAGUCAACACAUUAAGCACUCCGCCUGGGGAGUACGGUCGCAAGGCUG
rnacentral:rRNA from 1 species